rnacentral:lncRNA from 1 species
CGACUUAGUUAUGGCAAUGCAGUUGCGCUCUUUGCUCUUGUGUGUGCUGCUGCUUCUCCUUGGCUUUGCAUUGGCAAAAACCAGUGCUUCCAAGACAGAUCGACCCAUUGUUUGUGCAACUCUCAACCGGACCGAUUUCGAUUCUCUUGUACCUGGGUUCACAUUUGGCACAGCUACCGCAUCUUAUCAAGUCAGUCUCUUAAUUUGGGGCUUAAUUAAUUAAAUACGCACUCUUUAAAUUUGUUUUAUUUUUGUGUUUCCUAUAGUUACUUAGGUUUAAUGUAAUCCGAUCAGUUAGCAUAAUCCAUGCAUGAAUAUUGGCAUCUUCGUUUGGUAUAUAUAUAUAUCGUCUUAUAUAUGUGUGUACAAUAUUUCAGUUGGAAGGUGCUGCAAAGCUAGAUGGUAGAGGACCAAGUAUAUGGGAUACCUUCACCCACAACCAUCCAGGUCUGUUGAUUCAAACAAUCAUCAUUUAUUCAACACAUCUUCAUUUGCACUAGUAUAAGAAACCAUAAAUUAAUGUCAGGUUUUGAAGAAUUUCAAGAAUAUUAACUCGUAAAUAAGAUACUCUGGUGAGAGCUUCUUUCGACCAAUUGUUGUAACCAUACAAUCUCUAAUACGUGCAGUUUUACCUCACGUGGGGCAUGCAUAACCCUGCUUAAGACAUGAACAUAGCAAGUAAUAUUUGGCAUCGUGAUGGUCAGAUAAAUCAAACGACCAACAAGUCUUCUAUAGUGAGCUGGGUAUUUAAGCAAUUUACCCUUAUCAGAAAGCUUAAGACAUUUUUCCAUAGGAAAAUCAACAGGUGCAACACCUAGGAGCUUUGCAUCCUUCAAAAUUUCCAAUGCAUACUUGCACUGAGAUAAGAAAAUACCUUUCUUUAAUCUUGAUACCUCAAUCCCCAGGAAAUAUUUCAAAUCUCCAAGAUCUUUAAUACGAAAAUGACUAUGCAAAAAAAUCCUUGAGUGCCUAGAUAGAUGCAGGAUCAUUGCCUGUAAUUACAGUGUCAUCAACAUAAAUCAAUAAUGUUGUGAAAGAUUGUCCCUUAUUGCGAGUAAAUAACGAAUAGUCAACUUUAGACUGAAAGUAAUCAGUGGAACAAAAGGCCUGUGAAACCUUAGGAAACCAUUGACGAGAAGCUUGCUUUGAACCAUAAAGAGAUUUAUGAAGGCAACAUACCAAGUUAUCCCCCUGUCGCAGAAGACCAGGAGAGGUCAUGUAGAUUUCCUCAUGGAGAUCACCAUGAAGAAAGGCAUUCUUGACGUCAAGCUGAUGGAGAGGCCAAUUACGUGCGGUGGCAAGAGCAAGUAAAUAGCAAACUGUAGGCAUCUUUGCAAAAGGAGAAAAAGUGUAUGAUAAUCAACACCUUCCAUUUGAGUAAAACCUUUAGCAACCAAACGGGCUUUAUACCGUUUGACAAACCCAUCGAAUUUGAGCUUAAUUUUAUACACCCAUCGACAACCAAUGGGCUUCUUUCCAUCUGGUAACGCAGAAGACUCCAAGUGUGAUUAUUGUACAAGGGGGUAAUUCAGAUUGCAUGGCUUCCUGCUAAUGAGAGUGAGAAGUGGCUUCCUCAUAAGAACUGGGUUUAACCAUUUUACUGACUUGUGUAAUGAAAGAAAGGUGAUUCGGAGAAUAACGAUGAUAGGAGAUGCAGAGCGGAAAACAUGUACCUUUAGUAGGACCCGGUGUGGGUGCAGGUGAACUAGUUGUGGAUGGACUAGGUGCAGGUGCGGGUGAUAGAGAUAAUGGCAUGGAGUCAUGUGCAUCAGGCCCGACUGUUGGAGCGGAUAGGGACGAAGGCAUGAGACCAGGUGCAUCAAGUUCAACGAUGGAGGGUGGUGAGAUUGGGCUGGUGAUGGACGACCAAUGUGGAGUAGCGGCUGCAGAAGAAAAAAAAUUGUCCAGGUUAGAUGAGGAAGAAGAUACUGAAAUUGGAGAGAGAAAGAGAAAAGAAAUGUUGAUAGGGAAAAAUAUUUUCAUGGAAUAUAACAUCACGACUCGUGAAAAUUUUGUGAGACUCAAUAUCAUAAAGUUUUAAGGCUUUUUGACCAAGGGGAUAAUCAAGGAAAAUAGAGGGAAUAGCACGAGGAGUGAAUUUAUGUGCCACAUGAACAUUGGUUGCAUAGGCAAGACAACCAAAAACACAAAGAUGAGAAAAAAAGGGUUUUUUUUUUAAAUAAAGAUGUUCAAAAAGAGUGUUAAAAGAAAGAAGGGAGGAGUAGGAAAACGAUUUAUGAGAUGGACAGUAGCUAAAACACAUUCCCCCCCAAAAUUUGGAAGGAAGAUGGGCAUGAAUUUUUAAAGCACGAGCUGUCUCAAGAAUAUGUCAAUACUUGCGUUCUACGACCCCAUUUUGUUGAGAUGUAUAGACGCAAGAGUGUUGAAAAAUGAGGCCCUGUUCAUGAAGUUUUUUUUGUAGAGAGAAAUUCCCCUCAAUUGUCAGCACAGAGUUGUUUACUUUUGGAAUUAAAUUGAGUGCCAACAUAGGGAAAUAAAUUUUUUAAAAGAUUUUGUGUCUAAUGUUUAUGUUGCAUUAAAAAUACCCAAGUAAAAUGGGAAUAAUCAUCAACUAUGGUAAGAACAUAAGCACCCGAAAUUAACGAAUGCUUAUAAAGGCCCCAAAUAUCACAAUGGAUUAAAUCAAAUGAUGUGAUGGAGGAAAUUGAACUUCCUCCAAAAGGGAGACGACUAUGCUCUGCCAAAGGACAAACAUGGCAAGGAUUAUUGGAUACAAAAAGGAAGUGCCAGUUUGACAUUGCUUAUUUGGGGUGAUAAGUGAUUUUUAAAAAAAUUUGGGAAGCCCGGCCCGUUUGGUAAACCAUGAGAAAAUCACUUAUUGUUAAAAAUUGCUAUGAGUGAAAGCUAUAAGGGAAAGCAGCUAAUGAGGUGCUUUCAUUUUCUGAUUAUGUAGGAAUCAGUUUCGAAGAGGCACUGGGUUUAAUGAUUAUGCUGCAAUCAUUUUCUGAUUAUGCGGGAAUCAGUAUCAAUAACACUUUUAACAACCAAACGCCAAACUGCUUUCUCUCACAGCAAAUCUGACAUCGAUUAUUUUUAUAGCACAGCAAUGCCAAACUGGCCCGAAAUCAAUUAAUGUUUAUACAUAAAAUUUAAUAUGGAUGAAGAAUCAUGGCUAAGGCGACAAUGCCAAAUAUCGGUUGAGGUGACAGUAAGAUUGCAGGAUGGACAGUGAGGGGUAGAGUGGUUGGUUGUGCUUGAGGGUUUCUCCGCCGAUAGUGCCACCAAAUAAUAAAGCUCGCCAUGUUGCUUACCCAAACCAAUCGUCUUUCUUGUAACAAGAUCCUACAAAAUACACCAAUACGGAAAAAAGCUGAAUAAUUCAAAUUUUUUGUACUCUACUCACUGACAUCAAAUCUACUGUGAAAGUAGGUACACAUAGUACAUCACGUAAAGUAUAAGUAGAAUUGAAAGGGAAUGAUCAUGUGAUGGUAAUUGAGGCCUUCUCCCCAUUAGGCAUACAGACCAGUUGUAUAGAAUGAUCAACAUUAUGAUAAACUAACAAUUUGGGAGACGAAACAAUGUGAUAUGUUGCGCCACUAUCAAUAAUCCAUCGCUGAAAUUUUAAUUUGGACAAACCUUUAUUGGUAGCGGUAGCAUUGACUUGGGGUUGCUUAUCAGUCGCUCAUUUGUCAUUCAUGAUAGCCAACAUUUGCCGAAAUUGAUGAUUUGAAUAACUAAGGUAAUAAGGGUUUGAAGGUUCAAGCUUGGAUACGUCGAAGGAGUCACCCAUGGUGUUCGGCAAUGAAGGGUCUGUGGUAGGAGAAGGUAGGAUGCGGCAGAAAAAGUUUUAAGAGCUAGAGUUUAAUUACCCUACUAAAAAACCAUGUGAAUUUGAUAUUUGAUCAAAAUGAUCUUUUCAUUGAUAGGUACAAUUGAUUUAUACAAGAGUAUAUUAAUGUACAGGGAAACUAAUCCUGUAACCUAGGAGACAAACUAGGAAAGCAAAAUCCUAAUUACAACAGGAUUUGAUGCAGUACAGAAGAACGAGUUUACGGAUCAACAAACGUCUAAACCCAAAAAGAUAAAAUGAAAUCCGUCACCGACUCGAAUCUACCAUAAAAUAGAGAAAAUCUCUAAAUUUGAUUAAUUAUAUGAUAAAACUUAUUAAUACAAUGCCAUGAGUUGGCUUAAAUAGAAAACCAAAAAAUUCUAAAACCGUAGGAAAUCCUAGGUUCUAGAAUAUUCAUAAAACUUAACUAGUAAGAAAAUUAAUUAAAAUCAUAUCAGGAAAAUAAUAUCCGGAUUGAUAACUUAUUCUUAAAAAUAUAAAUAUAAUAUAAAUCUUCUCAAGAAAUCAAGCUACCCGAAAAUCCCAACGAUACGCCUUCCUUCUUUCCCUAGCGUCAUAAUUGAUGCUUAAUCAGAAUUUUCCUCUCUUGCACAAUUUCCAUUCCAACUUUGAGCCACUUUAUUUUAUUUAAUAUUUCUCACCAUAAAUGACUCAUAUCUCAUCUUACAUCAGGAUUAAUUGAUACUAAUUGAUAUUAUACGGAUUGAUUUCCUAACACCUUUAUGCUUAAAUAUUGAAAUAAUAUUUGGUUAAUUGCAGAAAAGAUCGAUGAUCACAAGAAUGGAGAUGUUGCUAUUGAUCAAUAUCACCGCUAUAAGGUUCGGAAAUCAUAUAAUUUUAUUCUGCAGGCCUUCUAUAUUUGAACUUAAACACACCACAUUGAAGAUGAGAUCCUUCAUUUUUAGCUUCUUUCGUAUAAUUAUGUAUAUCUUUAUAUCUUUUGCCUCAUUAUAGGAAGAUGUGGCAAUUAUGAAGGAUAUGGGGUUGGAUGCUUAUAGGUUCUCUAUCUCAUGGUCCAGAAUAUUACCAAGUAAGUUGAUGACCCACAUCCGCAUAUUUUAUUGCGAACAAACACUUUAUAGUUUAACAUGUUUUAUUCAAUUUAAAUUCUAUUUCUAGAUAGGUAUUGGCUUAUAUUUUCUUGUUUUGUUUUAAUUAUUACUAGAUGGAACUGUGAGUGGUGGAAUUAACAAGAAAGGAAUUGAAUACUACAAUAAUCUCACCAAUGAACUCCUACGCAAUGGUGAUACAACAACCCAUACUCAUAUAUCAUCCUAAUAUAUAAUAACAGUACAUGCACUUAUUUGAUCAAACUUUUAAUUUUCUUGGUCAUGCUAUAUAUAGGUAUAGAGCCACUAGUGACACUUUUUCACUGGGAUGUUCCCCAAGCCUUAGAAGAAAAAUAUGGUGGCUUUUUAAGCACUCGUAUUAUGUAAGUGAACAAAUUUUAUCCUUUGUAUAGCAUUAAUCAUUUAACCAUAUAAAUACUACUAUAUAUAAUAAAUGCAUUUUGAAAUGUUUACACACAGUGAUCACUUUAAAGAAUACGCAGAACUUUGUUUUAAGGAAUUUGGUGAUCGAGUAAAGCAUUGGACCACACUUAAUGAGCCAUAUACCAUUAGUAAUCAUGGUUAUACAAUCGGGAUCCAUGCACCAGGACGAUGCUCUGCUUGGUAUGACACAAAUUGUCUUGGUGGAGAUUCAGCUACCGAACCAUAUAUGGUGACACACCACCUACUCCUUGUUCAUGCAGCCGUUGUAAAAUUGUACAAAGAAAAAUAUCAGGUUCUUUAAUUUGAAUUUUUUUUUUUUUUUUGGGUCUGAAUAUUGGGGUAUUUGAGAAUUUGAUGCGAGUCACUAGUAUUAAGUAUAAGUGGGAAUACUUUAUAUAUUGAGAAAAACAAUGGUUUUACUUUAUUUUUUUAUGGUACUAAUAAAUCAACAAAAAAUAAUAUCAAAUGUUUUUGGUCUAGGCAUUUCAAAAAGGUGUGAUAGGAAUAACAGUGGUAUCACACUGGUUUGAGCCCGCUUGGAAGACAAGGAAAGAUAUAGACGCUGCAUUUCGAGCUUUGGAUUUUAUGUACGGAUGGUAUGUUGUUAUUAAUUUAUAUAUAAAGUCAUUUAAAUGCUUUAUUAACAAAUUAUAACAGCGACUCGCUAUAUAAUACUGUAAGUUUGCUCUUGGCAUUUUCAUAGGUUUCUGGACCCAUUGACAAGAGGCGACUAUCCGCAUAGCAUGCAAUCUAUUGUUGGAGAUCGAUUACCAAAAUUCACAAAACAAGAAUCCAAGUUGCUGAGUGGGUCAUUUGAUUAUAUUGGAAUAAACUACUAUUCUGCUAGAUAUGCAAGCGAUGUCUCUACGAAUUAUUUUGUACCGCCCAACUACUUAACAGAUCUUCGAGUUAAUGUUACAAGUGAGUACAAAUGUAAGCUUCCAGUAAUUCAUCAAGUUAUUAGAAUAAUUGGAUUCUAAUAUUCAUUCAUGUUUAUAUAUGUUGUGGCAGCUGAACUUAAUGGAGUCCCCAUUGGUCAACGGGUACAUAUUAUUAGAUUAAGUUAUUAGCAUUUGGAUGAUUAAUAUAUAAUGCAUUAUCAUAUAUAUAUAUAUAUAUAUUGUUUUCCACAUAUAAAUACAGUCCUAAAAGUCUCACUAAUCUUCAAAUGGGAUUGCAGGCAGCUUCAGACUGGUUAUAUAUUUACCCAAAAGGACUUUACGAUCUUAUACUCUACACAAAGAAAAAGUAUAAUGAUCCAGUUAUUUACAUUACUGAGAAUGGUAAUUAAUAGUUUUAAGCAUUAAUUAAUCACAUCAUAAAUGUUUCACAUAUAUUUAUAAUGGUUCAAAAUACAAUUAAAUGUUGUAAACUCAAAACUUAAAACUAAAUGCACGUUUCUUUUUUAGAAAGAAAAUGUAUUCAUAUGAUAAUGCAUUAUACUGCAGGCAUGGAUGAGUUCAAUAAUCCCGAAUUACCACUUGAAAAAGUACUUGAUGAUAGCAAUAGAAUUGACUACUAUUAUCGCCACCUUUGUUACCUUCAAGCCGCUAUUAAGUAAGUGUUAGUCGAUAAAUUAAUUAAGGCUAUAUAUGUAUAAUCUAGCCAUCUUACAUUUCGGUUAUUUAAUCACUACAUUGCAUUUUUUUUCAUUUAUAUGUUUGCAGAAAGGGUGCUAAAGUGAAAGGAUACUUUGCAUGGUCAUUGCUAGACAACUUUGAAUGGAACAAAGGAUACACUGUUCGAUUUGGUAUCAACUAUGUUGAGUAUGACAAUGGACUGAAAAGACACCCAAAACGCUCUACGCACUGGUUCAAAAAUUUCCUCAAGAAAUCCUCAAGUAGUACGAAAAAAAUUCGAGUGUGUGGGGACGAUAAUGCUAAAGCCACCAAUUUGUGUAUCAAAUUUGAAUCCUAAAUGAAGAGUAAAGUACAUCGGCUUCUUCAUAGUUAUUGUGCGAGAGUUGUUUUUCAUGUUUAACUUGUUUGACUCUUUCAAAGUCGGAAUAAGUUACAACAAUUCAUUAUGAGUUUGCCGUCUCUCCUUGCGAUAGUUCAGUUUUAAUUUUACUUUAUAUGAGUUGUUGAUGUGCUUGGUUUAUCCAGAUUAGAUUCUGUUUGGAUGUGAUUGAUGUACCCUAGGUUUGUAUUAGUCCUUGUGUUCACUAGCCCUUUAUGGCCAAACUAUGAAUGCAAUUUAUGAAUAAGAAUUAAAAUUAAAAUAAA